ensembl:lncRNA
GAAAUUUCAAACCGAGGCGCUGGGUGCCCGAGCUUGGAGCAAUUAAAGGUAACAUUUUCCCAAGCAGAGCGAAGCAGCCGAGCGCAUCCCGGCACCACGGAGAUGCGGGGGAGACUAAAGAGGAAAUCAAAACAACAACAAUAAAUAAACUUUUCUUAAGGCUUAAAGAAAAAUGAGACAGCGGAUGGGCUGAGCUGCCCCCCCACCCCCAUCCCCCACCUCCUCCUGUCCUGCCGGGACCUGCAGGGUGCCCGUUCAGCUCUGAGGCUCUGCAUGCUGGUUGCCAUGGGGUCCCAUUGCCAAAGGCAGAUCCCAUCCCCAGAUGGGACAUAUUUAAUAUGCAAAUUGACACAGCUCUGGCCGGCCGCCAGCGCCGGGUGUCGGUGGUGCCUCGUGUGCACCCAAAGGGACAGCUGCUUCCUGCCUCUGCCACCCGAACCCAGCGGCCAGCGAGCAAAGCAUUGGCG